UGCGUAGGCGGGCCCGUUAGUCAGGGGUGAAAUCCCACGGCCCAACCGUGGAAGUGCCUCUGAUACUGCGGGCCUGGAGGGAAAUAGGGGCGUGCGGAACUUCCGGUGGAGCGGUGAAAUGCGUAGAUAUCGGAAGGAACACCGGUGGCGAAAGCGGCGCGCUGGAUUUCUACUGACGCUGAGGCACGAAAGCCAGGGGAGCAAACG
rnacentral:rRNA from 1 species